AGGUCAUCCAGUUAGAAAUAGGCAUAGCCUAUAUCAGGACACACCAAGAUACUCAACUGAGAUGAGUUUAUAUUUGCGGCUGUGAAUAAAAUGGGUCUAGAGGAAAGCGCGUACUGAUGGAUGCAGUAGAUUCCAAGCGGUGGAUCACCAACCUGAGAAGCAUCCACACCUCUCCCACCAUACCUGCAGGAGCUGUGUUCAGUCCGUGUACAUUAAAACACAUGUCCCUGUGUGACAGUAUUGCUUUCAUCACCUUGCAGUGUUCGGACAGACGGAAUACGACAUAUACACUCCAGAGAAACAAACAAACAAAAAUAGCAGCAGAAAGAAGCUUAUCAAGCAAGAAAUGAAUUCACUGAACAGCAAACCUUCUACAGACUUACACAAUUUAGCACGAGAGCUGGAGAACUCCAAGAACAAUCUACCAGUAGAUGCAAGAAAAGGUA